rnacentral:rRNA from 1 species
GAUAAACGCUGGCGGCGUGCCUAAUACAUGCAAGUCGAGCGAACGGACGAGAAGCUUGCUUCUCUGAUGUUAGCGGCGGACGGGUGAGUAACACGUGGAUAACCUACCUAUAAGACUGGGAUAACUUCGGGAAACCGGAGCUAAUACCGGAUAAUAUUUUGAACCGCAUGGUUCAAAAGUGAAAGACGGUCUUGCUGUCACUUAUAGAUGGAUCCGCGCUGCAUUAGCUAGUUGGUAAGGUAACGGCUUACCAAGGCAACGAUGCAUAGCCGACCUGAGAGGGUGAUCGGCCACACUGGAACUGAGACACGGUCCAGACUCCUACGGGAGGCAGCAGUAGGGAAUCUUCCGCAAUGGGCGAAAGCCUGACGGAGCAACGCCGCGUGAGUGAUGAAGGUCUUCGGAUCGUAAAACUCUGUUAUUAGGGAAGAACAUAUGUGUAAGUAACUGUGCACAUCUUGACGGUACCUAAUCAGAAAGCCACGGCUAACUACGUGCCAGCAGCCGCGGUAAUACGUAGGUGGCAAGCGUUAUCCGGAAUUAUUGGGCGUAAAGCGCGCGUAGGCGGUUUUUUAAGUCUGAUGUGAAAGCCCACGGCUCAACCGUGGAGGGUCAUUGGAAACUGGAAAACUUGAGUGCAGAAGAGGAAAGUGGAAUUCCAUGUGUAGCGGUGAAAUGCGCAGAGAUAUGGAGGAACACCAGUGGCGAAGGCGACUUCCUGGUCUGUAACUGACGCUGAUGUGCGAAAGCGUGGGGAUCAAACAGGAUUAGAUACCCUGGUAGUCCACGCCGUAAACGAUGAGUGCUAAGUGUUAGGGGGUUUCCGCCCCUUAGUGCUGCAGCUAACGCAUUAAGCACUCCGCCUGGGGAGUACGACCGCAAGGUUGAAACUCAAAGGAAUUGACGGGGACCCGCACAAGCGGUGGAGCAUGUGGUUUAAUUCGAAGCAACGCGAAGAACCUUACCAAAUCUUGACAUCCUUUGACAACUCUAGAGAUAGAGCCUUCCCCUUCGGGGGACAAAGUGACAGGUGGUGCAUGGUUGUCGUCAGCUCGUGUCGUGAGAUGUUGGGUUAAGUCCCGCAACGAGCGCAACCCUUAAGCUUAGUUGCCAUCAUUAAGUUGGGCACUCUAAGUUGACUGCCGGUGACAAACCGGAGGAAGGUGGGGAUGACGUCAAAUCAUCAUGCCCCUUAUGAUUUGGGCUACACACGUGCUACAAUGGACAAUACAAAGGGCAGCGAAACCGCGAGGUCAAGCAAAUCCCAUAAAGUUGUUCUCAGUUCGGAUUGUAGUCUGCAACUCGACUACAUGAAGCUGGAAUCGCUAGUAAUCGUAGAUCAGCAUGCUACGGUGAAUACGUUCCCGGGUCU